rnacentral:rRNA from 1 species
UACGAAGGGGGCUAGCGUUGUUCGGAAUUACUGGGCAUAAAGCGUGCGCAGGCGGCCUUCCAAGUCAGGGGUGAAAGCCCAGAGCUCAACUCUGGAAUUGCCUUUGAGACUGUGAGGCUUGAGUACGGGAGAGGUGAGUGGAAUUCCCAGUGUAGAGGUGAAAUUCGUAGAUAUUGGGAAGAACACCGGUGGCGAAGGCGGCUCACUGGCCCGAAACUGACGCUCAUGCACGACAGCGUGGGGAUCAAACAGG